rnacentral:tRNA from 1 species
CCGCCAUUAGCUCAUCAGGAAGAGCAGACGACAACCGAUUGUUGUAUGGUACGGGGGUUCGAGGCCUCGAUGGCGGUCCA